UACGGGGGGGGGCAAGCGUUGUUCGGAAUUACUGGGCGUAAAGGGCUCGUAGGCGGCCAACUAAGUCGGAUGUGAAAUCCCCAGGCUUAACCUGGGAACUGCAUCCGAUACUGGAUGGCUUGAAUCCGGGAGAGGGAUGCAGAAUUCCAGGUGUAGCGGUGAAAUGCGUAGAUAUCUGGAGGAACACCGGUGGCGAAGGCGGGUCUCUGGGCCGAUACUGACGCUGAGGAGCGAAAGCGUGGGGAGCGAACAGG
rnacentral:rRNA from 1 species